ensembl:lncRNA
AGACAGCUUUGCUGCUGCCAAACCACAACACAAAAUUGUUUUUUCUUUUUCUUUUUAUGAGAAGAAAUGUCGGAGCACGGCAGGUCUCGGUGUAAAAAGUGACAUGGAGGAAUUUGCAACGCUGCCUCGUGUCCUGGACCACGUUCUUCCCUCCGGAGGCUCCCCGGCUCGUCUUCCUCAGUUUUAACCCUACGAGUUGGUAUCGAGGAUCCAGCCUAAGCGAAAUCAUAUUGGUUUGAAUUGGGCAAUGAUCUCAUUUUUGAGAAGUGCUGAGGGACAAGACGGGAAGAGAAAAACACUGAUCCGACAAAAUGCAAUUUUAUGACUUCUCCUGUCACAUCUACUUGCUUUGUCAAUUUAGCGCUAACACUGCCGCCUUGGGGCCUCGGCACGGAGACGCGCUGCGUAGAUGUACCGAACCCAGUUGCCUCGACCGCCGCAGGAUGCAAGAGUGCGCUUCACAUCGCUUACAGUGUACAAUUAGUUCAGAAGGUCAGGCACGGGGAAAUACAUAUUCAGUGUGUUUUUAAGCCCAGCAGACUUUGAAUUAAUAGCUGUGACGAUAUUGCGUAUCCAACACUUUGAGAACAUGAAAUUCUUUUUUUUUUUUUUGCCACACUCAGAAGAAAUGGCAUUUUCCAACCGUGGUCACACGUGUAUGAGAAAACCGUUCAGAUCCAAUCUUUAUAUAUAUGGCCAUAUAUGGCAUUUUUUACUACAACGUUGCUGAUACUGAAGCUUUUGCCAUGUAACAAACCAGUCAAAACCAGUCAAAACCAGCCGAACCACCGAUUGUUUCCAGAUCGUAGCGAAUUAUGUUCACCAAGCAAGAUGCAUUUAAAAACACAAAGGCUUUUUUUCUGUCAAUAAAUGUCCUCUGUGUUAUUUCAUCAGACUGUGAUGCAGUGUCUAAAAUUAACUAAAUGUAGAGACACACUGAAAGAAAUCAGUAUUUUUAAGUGAAUUGGAUUUUAAAUGGACAUGACUGUUGCACAAUUGAAAUCUGGAAAAAACUAAACAUAACGGAAGACGGUCAUAGUAAAAUAAAUUAUUCUACUAAAUGUAUUUGCUUUCCCUGUAUACAUUAAAUUGGCAGCAGAACAUCUUCUCAAUCAAUGAUCUGCUUUUUCGUCUGC